GAUGAACGCUAGCUACAGGCUUAACACAUGCAAGUCGAGGGACCGGCGCACGGGUGAGUAACACGUAUCCAACCUGCCCUUUACUCGGGGAUAGCCUUUCGAAAGAAAGAUUAAUACCCGAUAUAAAGGAUGGGGAUGCGUUCCAUUAGGUUGUGGGUGAGGUAACGGCUCACCAAGCCGUCGAUGGAUAGGGGUUCGGUGAGGAAGGUCCCCCACAUCUGAACUACGGCACGGUCCAAACUCGUACGGGAGGCAGCAGUGAGUAAUAUUGGUCAAUGGGCGGUAGCCUGAACCAGCCGAGUAGCGUGAAGGAUGAAGGCUUAUGGGACGUAAACUUCUUUUAUAUAAGAAUAGGUAUUAUAUGAAUAAGGAUCGGCUAACUCCGUGCCAGCAGCCGCGGUAAUAC
rnacentral:rRNA from 1 species